AUUUAAUUUAGCAAAUUUAAGAAAGAUUGACUUUGCAAUCAAAUUUAAGAAAAAAUUGACUUCGCAAUCACAUGUUUUAAUACAUCCAUGCUUUUAUUGUUAUUUAUGAUGGUUUUUUGUGUGUAAUCUUUCUUUUUUGCAGUCUGAUUAAAACCAGCCCCACCAUCAAGUUGUAGUAGGGGCUAGUUUUAAUCAGACUCUCUUUGUAGCACAUUGUUCUUCACACAACUGGACUAAUCUCUAUUUGGGAGUAGCAAGUAUUGGCUGUAAAGGAAUUAAUGAAAGUGUUAAGAAUUAAAUAAAAAUAUAUUUUUAAGG
rnacentral:lncRNA from 1 species